CCGUGGUGACACUGUAGGUACACCGCAUGAGCUUCCCGUUACCACGGUGUCACUGCCUGU
rnacentral:pre_miRNA from 1 species